rnacentral:rRNA from 1 species
UACGUAGGGGGCAAGCGUUGUCCGGAAUCAUUGGGCGUAAAGCGCGUGUAGGCGGUUCGGUAAGUCUGCUGUGAAAGUCCAGGGCUCAACCCUGGGAUGCCGGUGGAUACUGUCGGACUAGAGUACGGAAGAGGCGAGUGGAAUUCCCGGUGUAGCGGUGAAAUGCGCAGAUAUCGGGAGGAACACCAAUUGCGAAGGCAGCUCGCUGGGACGUUACUGACGCUGAGACGCGAAAGCGUGGGAGCAAACAGG